GACCUUGAUUACCUUGAUUGAAACAAUCUAGGGCGACAUUUCCCCAAAUAAGUCUUCUUCUCCAAAUCAAAUCAAAUUUGUCAAUCACAUGACCUGUAGCCGAUCGCAUUCCUCAUUCUUCAGAUCACUUACGCCAUUAUCGAUCGGAGCUCCUCUCACUCUCAUUAGCUUUGUCGUUCGAUUCCUGCUCCAUCAACUGGUAGAUUUUUCUUGAUUGUCUUCAUCCCUACCAGGUGCCCUGAAUCUGAUCUACUAUUAUAAAUCCUAACAAAUUAAGUUCUUUAUCGGCCAAAUUGAUAUAGAGAAGAAGCUUUGGGGACAUGAUUUGGCACACCAUGAACUAUUCUUGUAUACACACUAAGAAUCAGGAUGGAAUGACUUUUUUUAGUUGACAAAGCUAAAAAAAUUCAUGUAAGCUUUAUUUUGAAUAAUUUCAUGUAAGUUUUAUUUUGAUUUUUUUGUAUAAGUUUUAUCUCAACACAAUUAUAAAAUUAUAGGAUGAUUUUAUGGAACGAUGUGAUCGGUAGGAAACGAUAAGAGAGGAAAUUGAUGAGGACAAACUAUUUUAUGAUGUCGUUGGGGGACAUGAUCGAAAAAUAAUAGAUUAUAUGGAUUUGACUCAUAUGAAAAGCGCAUUCGUUCUAGUAAAAGAUCUUUUGAAACACAUUGCGAACAAUAUGAAGAUAAUAAUGUCAAGACAAAAGUCGAGAUUGAGAAUUUGAAGAAGUUAGUUGAGACGCAACGCGAACAAUAUGAGGAUUCAACAAAAAUAUGAGGAUGUUCAGCAAAAAUAUGAGGAUGCUCAGAAAAAGAAUGUGGAGUUUCAGCAGAAAAAUAUGGAUGUUCAAGCAAAGUUUGAACAACAACUCGCUCAAGCAAUGAAUAUCAUUAACACAUUGAGUGAACAGGUCAAAACUUUUAUUAAUCAAUGAUAGAAUAUUAUGUAUCGAAUAAUAUUUUACGUUAAAUUUGUAGCGACUUUUGAUUUUCAAUAUGUAUCUUUUGAUGUAUUGGAUAUUUCUUUUAGUUUCUAUAGAAAUACUUUGUUAUUUUUGGUUUUA